rnacentral:rRNA from 1 species
UCUGGUGGCUAUAGCAAGGAGGUCACACCUGUUCCCAUGCCGAACACAGAAGUUAAGCUCCUUAGCGUCGAUGGU